rnacentral:lncRNA from 1 species
UCAUACAUUACCAAAUAACAUCAAAACUCAUCAUAUUUAAACAAAAUUUUCUCAUUCAAUAUACAAAAAAUAGACUAGAAAAAAAAGUGGAAUAAAAAACAUAAAAUAGUAACAUAAAAUAAUAUCAAAGACAUUAUAAUAAAACAUAAAAAAUAAAUGAGAAGAGAAAUUAGAGAAGAAGAAGAAAAAAGAAUAGAAGAGAUGCGUGAUUAAAGAAGAAAAGUGUGAUAAAAACAUAAUUGGAAGAGAAAACAGUAGCAUAAAAAUGAUAAGAUGAAA